ensembl:lncRNA
GGAAUUGGGGUUAAGGUGAGAGGAUAUCAACAUGGCAAGACAGGAAGACAGAAGGAUUUAUAGCCCAGCACAGCUCUGUUUAUAACAACCUGCUUUGAGGGAACUAAGCAGGAUCUUACGAGAACUACACUAAUCCCUUACCAGGCUGGUCUUAUACUCACAAUCCUCCUGCCUCAGCCCCCCAGGUAUACCUCAGCACCAGCUCACCUGUCAGGCUUCACUUCUGAAAAGUUCUGCAAUCACCUAAUGCCACCACUCUGGGUUGGCGCCCUUGUCACAGGCAGCCACUUGAUCUUGGACAUUCCGCCUCUAGAACCAUGAGCUAAAU